rnacentral:rRNA from 1 species
AAUAUUGGACAAUGGGCGAAAGCCUGAUCCAGCUAUGCCGCGUGUGUGAAGAAGGUCUUCGGAUUGUAAAGCACUUUAUGUUGGGAGGAAGGGGUUGAAGCUAAUACCUUCAAUCUUUGACGUUACCAACAGAAUAAGCACCGGCUAACCCUGUGCCAGCAGCCGCGGUAAGACGGAGGGCGCGAGCGUUGUUCGGAAUUACUGGGCGUAAAGCGAGCGCAGGCGGAUGGGGAAGUCGGGAGUGAAAUCCUGGGGCUCAACCCUGGGCCUGCUAUCGAUACUGCUCGUCUAGGGACCGGUAGAGGCCGGUGGAAUUCCCGGUGUAGCGGUGGAAUGCGUAGAUAUCGGGAAGAACACCUGUGGCGAAGGCGGCCGGCUGGGCCGGAUCCGACGCUGAGGCGCGAAAGCGUGGGGAGCAAAC